CCUACGGGAGGCAGCAGUGGGGAAUUUUGGACAAUGGGCGAAAGCCUGAUCCAGCAAUGCCGCGUGCAGGAAGAAGGCCUUCGGGUUGUAAACUGCUUUUGUACGGAACGAAACGGUCCGCUUUAAUACAGUGGGCUAAUGACGGUACCGUAAGAAUAAGCACCGGCUAACUACGUGCCAGCAGCCGCGGUAAUACGUAGGGUGCGAGCGUUAAUCGGAAUUACUGGGCGUAAAGCGUGCGCAGGCGGUUAUAUAAGACAGUUGUGAAAUCCCCGGGCUCAACCUGGGAAUUGCAUCUGUGACUGUAUAGCUAGAGUACGGUAGAGGGGGAUGGAAUUCCGCGUGUAGCAGUGAAAUGCGUAGAUAUGCGGAGGAACACCGAUGGCGAAGGCAAUCCCCUGGACCUGUACUGACGCUCAUGCACGAAAGCGUGGGGAGCAAACAGGAUUAGAUACCCUGGUAGUCCACGCCCUAAACGAUGUCAACUGGUUGUUGGGUGCAUUAGUACUCAGUAACGAAGCUAACGCGUGAGUUGACCGCCUGGGGAGGACGGCCGCGAGUAGUUAACGUUACGUAAGAAGUUAGUACGGCGNGNGAGNGCGACGGACGACGACGAGGGAGGAGG
rnacentral:rRNA from 1 species